rnacentral:lncRNA from 1 species
UCAUCGAAAGUAAAAUCUAAAUGUGUUCCGGAUGUUACCUCAUUGUCGUUAGCCAUAAAACAAAGGUUGGCCUUUUCUUCUUGUUCCUCAUCCGAUGAAGAUGAUGAUGUGUCGGAGUCCGAUAGGGUGGAGACAAGAACUUUCUUUUUCUUGUACUUGCUCCCCUUCUUCAGCAAAGGACAUUCAACUCUGAAGUACCUCGGCUUCUUACACUCAUAACAUCCAAUCCCCUCACUUUCUCUUUCCUUACCUUU